rnacentral:rRNA from 1 species
UACGUAGGGUGCGAGCGUUGUCCGGAAUUAUUGGGCGUAAAGAGCUUGUAGGCGGUUUGUCGCGUCUGCUGUGAAAAUCCGGGGCUCAACCCCGGACUUGCAGUGGGUACGGGCAGACUAGAGUGCAGAAGGGGCAACUGGAAUUCUCGGUGUAGCGGUGAAAUGCGUAGAUAUCGAGAGGAACACCUGCGGCGAAGGCGGGUUGCUGGGCUGACACUGACGCUGAGGCGCGAAAGCUAGGGGAGCGAUCGGG